rnacentral:misc_RNA from 1 species
CCUAGAGUUGUAGGCUUUGCCUGCUAUCUCUUACCCAUGUCUUUUGAGUACCUUCGUUUCCUCGGCGGGUCCGCCCGCCGAUUGGACAAUUUAAACCAUUCGCAGUUGCAAUCAGCGUCUGAAGAAACUUAAUAGUUA